rnacentral:lncRNA from 1 species
GGAAAGGAUGCUUGGCUGGGAAGAGACAAUAUAUAGGAGCUGAAAGGUACUGAAGUCAAAAUGGAUCGUUGUUCUUUUCCAGAAGGAGGACAUAAGCCAGCUUUCUUCAUGCCCUGGAGAGAUGAUCACCAGGAACAAGGAAAACACUGAAUUCAGCAAUGGGUCACCUUCCAAUGGCAGCUGCCACCACGUUGAGGGCAAUUGAGCCAAAUAAACGUACGCUCG